AUGGAGUCCUUCAAACGUCUUCUUCUUUUUGCAAAGGAGCAAGCCAACGUUUCCUUGUUAAUCUACAAUGUUUACCUAUUAAUUGCCACGUCUCUUAUUGCUUUCCUUGGCUUGCACAGCAUUUUGUAUAGCGACAACAGCUGUACUCAAUUUUCACAAAAUGCUCUCAUCCGCAUUGCUCUAGGCGUUGAGUUGAAAUUGUUAAUUUGGGGUGUCAUAAUCACACUAUGUAAAGUUUGCAAACAGCAUACCAUUAAAAGCCAUUUCAAUAUACGUUAUUACCUAGCGUUCGCAGUGAUUUUCUUCGAUUUUCUUCAACAUGGGCUAUGCCGUGUGUAAUUUGCUUGUCCUGCUCGUGGAGCAACUCUCUGAAACAUGCUCCCCAAUGAACUACACUUUGUUGAAAACCACCAAGGCUACGUACUCUCAGAAAAUGUUCAUGGCUAUCUUCUUCGCUAUCACCGAGGCCUACUACAUUGGCCUUUGCUAUGUAGACACAUCUUCCUUGCCUAAUUUCUGUGUGAUGAUCGCAUUCCAUUACGCGAUCCCAGUAUGCCCAUGGAUUAAUAUCCUGGUGAUUCCGAUUGUCUACAGGGCCUUCUGGGCUUUCAACUCCCACGAACUUGGAUUCAGUGGGAAGGAACCGAUCAGUGGAAGGCAGUGGAGCGGGGUGUGCCGCUGGAACGUCGAAACGAGUCAAUGGGACUAUGUGGAGGAUCCUCAGAAGGCUGUGCUUUCGAUUUCUUAA